rnacentral:tRNA from 1 species
GAGGGUAUAGUUCAGUGGUAGAGUACAUGCUUAGUAUGCAGGAGGUCAUGAGUUCAGUCCCCAGUACCUUCA